rnacentral:lncRNA from 1 species
GCAAAUCAACAGCCAAUGCACAAUAUGCCCAGAGUUUCAACAAAAUUGUGAGAGAACUAAGCUCAAACGGGAUCAAAUUCAACCACUGAUAGUAUUUAGAUAUAAAAUGAGUAUUUUAGCUUUAGUAUUGAAGAGAAGAGUUUAGGAUCCCCAUCUAAUGCCCCAAAUGGUUCAAUUUAUAGCACAACUGUUAGGGCAUCAGAUUCUACUAGUUUUCUUUUUAGUCCUUCACUCAACUUGUAUUUUUUGCCUAAGUGAUCCUUCAAUUCCUAACUUGUGCCUCAAGUUUGAGGCUGGAAUUAUGUAUUAGUCCCUGCUAGAAGGUUCUAAAAGAUUCCUAUCAGAUUUUUAUAGAUUCAAAACCCUUUUAUACCCUCACCAGCUUUCCUAAAUUACCUACCCCUAAAUUUUUACCCCAGUCAAUUCUUUUAACCUUAGUUCAAUCACAAUUAACCUUGGUUAGUUCUUUGACUCCAAUUCAAUCACAAUUGAACUUGGCCGACCAAACUUGGACCAAAUUUAUAUUAACAGACUCAUGAAGAUCAGACUUAUCUAAAAUUAACCAAGGCUUACACCUGAUACACCUUGGUAGACCAAACCUGGGCCAAAUUUAUAUUAACAGACUCAUGAAGAUCAGACUUAACUAAAAUCAACCAAGACUUACACCUGAUACAGACUUCAUACAGGAUUAACAGAAUAACCAGGAGAGUGAAUACAUCUAUCGCACUUAGCUUUCAGAAAUAGUUCCAAUCAAAA